UUGGCGUGUUCGCUGCUGCUCUCCACCGUUUCGGUAACGGGGCGCCGGUUCGUUGGCAGCGUGGGCCGGGGCGUGCGCUCGCCCCUGCGGAGGCGGCACGGCGGAGCGGGGGGGCAGGCGGGCCCCGGAGCAGGGUUGUGUGGCGGCGUCGGCGGGAGGACGGCUCCUGUGGCAGCAGGCUCGGCCGAGAGUGCUGGGUAGUCCACCGAAGGGGGACAUCUUGAAGAGAAGCAGCUCAACCUAGCGAUCCAGUUGUUGAUUUUGGUCAUCGCCUGUAAGGGCAGCAUCCGAGCGUAAGAGGAAUCUAGGAGCCGUAUCGAAAAGGUAAUAGGUUUGAAAGAGAGACAGACAAAUCGAGCUCUAUCGUUCUUCCACGUAGUUAAAGAGCGAGAGACUUGUCGGUUAAGCGUGUGUGUACAAGGGUUUCGGAAAGGAUACUGAACAGUAGCAAUAAUACCGAAGCAGAACAAAAAUGAGGUUUCAUGGAAGAUGGUGUAGCUAAGUAUUAGGUGAUGUGCCUGCCUGCCUAAUAACCUAGCCCGACUUGCUGUAUGUAGUGUUUCCAAACAGUUUACCCUGUAAUGUAUGAUGCAAAGUGGUGUAUUAAGACCUUUCCUUUGAGGGAAAGAAGAAAAAAGAAAGGGGGGGGGGGAAACAUGGGGAAGAGAAAAAGAACGUGCAUAAGUCGAAGUGUUUUGUUGGAAGCGAAAUGCAAUUUUCUCUCUUUGUUACAGAGGUGGAAGCAAUGAUAGCAAAUGCUGACAAAGAGCAAAGCUGGACGAGCGUUUUUUUGCGAUUAGUCCCUAAGGGGCGGGCUGAAACUAGGAAGCAAAAAUGCAGCAGCGGACCCUCGAUAUCCCCAGAAGCUGCGACAGUAGGAGGUGUUCUGGCCUGGGUAACUAAGAUUCAUUGCCACGGCUGAAGCUGAAGAGACCAGAAAAACGUAAGCAAGCCGAAGUAAUAAAAUCAAAUGGAACCAAGCGAGAGCUGUCUCCGUUGCCCCAAAAGGGAAAGCCUGUUCCUCCUGGUGAGGAAGGUUCACCAUUAAUAGCGAUCAGAAUAAUAGAUGACCAACAUCUAACGGAAGGUCGAUGGAUUUUACUAAGCCUCCAUCAACAAGCGCUGGCUGACAGAGCUGUUGCGUCCCAGCGGAGACUCUUAGGCAAGACAGAGGAGUUCAGCUACACAGCCUGCCAGAAGAACGUCGCCCGGGAGGGGUUGCUAGCCUGGAGUUAUAGGCGCCGAUGCACAUGGCUCGUUCUGUCAGGCGUUCGGCACAUCGGGGAGCAACUGUAUGCUGCCGUGAAGAACUGCAAGCUCCCGCUCUCAGCCCUUUGCAAGUUAUCAGGUGUCAAGAGCAGCCAGGAGACUCCAAAUGCCGGCGGAAAGGUUCUCUGCCCGGUCCUGAUGAGGAGCCUUUGGCCGUAG
rnacentral:lncRNA from 1 species